GUGUGUGUUUUUCCCCCUGUUCGAUCAAAACACAGAACCCAAAGGGUUCUACUUCUUCCUUCCAAAACCCUACAUUCACCAAAUAACACACAAAUUCAAAGGAGAAUUCAAGUUAGAAAUUAGCUUCAGGCUAGAAUUGUGAUCACACAAGAUAGUAGAUCACAAGGCAAAUUGGGUGGUUUGUCAAGUAGUCAAGGCGGAAUGGAUAGUUGUUUGAAAGGAAAGCUUUAAAGGUACGUGGCUAAACGCUUCGUAAAAAUUGUUAUUUUUGUUAUGUUCUAUUGUAUAGAAUGAUAGAAUUAUUGUUAUGAAGUUUUGGUUAUUACUAAAACGGAGGAUUUCCGUUUGUAUUAACCGGUUGAAAUAACUAGUGUAUAGUGUUAAAUAAAAACAUGGAAGUGUUGGAUUCCACUUUAAGGUUUAAACGGGUCAAAGUGAUCCGAAUCAUACGUGUUUGGUUUUGUGAAAGCGAUAGAGUUCGUCGAUGAAACCAAACGGGUUACUUAAAUUCUAACUACAAGUUAGAAGAGAUAUAUAAAGUGAUGGAUUUCACUAUAAUAGGCGAAUGAGUCAACUUGACUCAAUCGAUGAGUGUUUUGUAAUAUAAAGCGAUGGAUGUCGCUAAUGAAACCAAACGGGUCAAAACAACCAAAGUAAUGAAGCUUUGGUGAAAUGAAGCGAAGGAUUUCGCUAACAUAAGAUAAACGGGUCAAAUGAUGUCUUGAUGCAAACCGGAAAGGUUGCACAUUUAAAGAUGUCGAAAUGAUGCCGGAUUUUAAUUAAUAAACAUUAUAGCCUUUAGCCGAGAAAGGGUAACGCCGAAUUUAAGUCAUAAACUCAGGUGUGAGAAUGAGUAAAAGAUGGCGAAUGAAAAGUACAGAAAUUGUGUUAAAUUUAUGUAAUUAAUUAAGGUUGAACGGGUCGAAUAAACAUACACAUACAAAUAUGAGCGCAUAAAUUGUAUGUAUAAUACCCCGACAAUUUGAUAUGUUUAUAGGUGUUAAUCUCAUAGAAAUUUGGGAGUUAAAGACCAAGUUACUGUUCAUAAUUCUGAACGGGUCAAAUAAUUUGGAAAUAAUUAUAACGCCGAGAGCAUAAAUUUAAGAAUUUUAUGAAUCCAGAUGUUGUGUUUUGAAUUCAUAUUAUAGAAGAUAGAAUUACGGUCACGUAGGAAGAAACGGAUCGUAAAACGGAUCGAUAACGAAUAAGUUAUGGUUAUUUUCGUAAAAUCAAGUUUGGCUGGAAAAAUGCAGGUUUGAAAACAAACCUGCUGUCGAUUUGUACUCGUCGCGUCACGCGGCGGUAAAGACCCUGAUGGGUCGCGGCACGCGACAGGUUCCCAGGAUGGCUUAUUGCUGCUGUAUUGUUGUAAUUAAAGCGAACUCGCGGAUGAAGAUCAAGCAUUGAAGAAGAACCGAACACGUACUAAGAAAGAAGCUUCCGCAACUACAUUAAGAUUUUGUUACUAAACUCGUUGGGGGUUGUUUUGUCAAAAUUGUGUAAAUAUUGACUAAUGCUUUACAAGUUAAGUAUGCAUUAGUAAAGUUGAAUGUUUCUAAAACUUUGGAAAGAUUUUUGUUUUAAAGUUAUGGAACUUAUGUAAAUGCCGUUAUAUAAAUGUUUUGAAAAAUGGCAUUUGAAUGUGAUACAUAUAUACAUUAUAUGAAUUAUUAAAUGGGUGAUAAGGGUCUUACAAGUUGGUAAUCAGAGCCUCGUUAAGACAAAGUGUGUUCGGUUCAAAGUUUGAUCAAGACAUCCGGUAAGAGUUACUUAUAAAUGAGUCUAGAUAUAAAGAUUUAAAUGAUGUGUGUGUGUGUGUGUGUGUGUAUAUAUAUAUAUAUAUGAGAAAAGUGUAUGGGAGGAGUGUAUGAAAACGCUCGAACCUGGGAAAUACACUAAGCAAGAAAGGUAAGGCAAGAUAUGUACUUGACUAAACCGAAAAACAAAUAACACAUUACUUGUGAUUAAGUAUGUAUGAUAUAAAUUUCCAUAUAACAAGAUGGAAAUGAAUUAAAUAGUUAUUGAUUAACUAUUGUAAACAUUUCAGUUAAAGAAAUGGCCAGUGUAACCGGAAAUGAAUCAACAUCUCGUUUGACUGAAGAGAUGAAAGCUAAAAUUUCCGAGGAAGUCGGAAAAGCCUUAGAAAAUAGUUUAUCGCAGUUUAUCGAUAGAUUACAAACCACAAUCGUGCUGGUGGUGGACGAUAUGAUGGAUGAACUGAAAGACAGUAUU
rnacentral:lncRNA from 1 species